rnacentral:rRNA from 1 species
UAGAGUUUGAUCAUGGCUCAGAUUGAACGCUGGCGGCGUGCCUAACACAUGCAAGUCGAACGCGAAAGUUUCUUCGGAAAUGAGUAGAGUGGCGCACGGGUGAGUAACGCGUGGAUUAUCUACCUACUGGUACGGGACAACAGUUGGAAACGACUGCUAAUACCGUAUACGCUGGUAACGGGAAAGGGGGCCUCUUCUUGAAAGCUCUCGCCAGUAGAUGAGUCCGCGUUUCAUUAGCUAGACGGUGGGGUAACGGCCUACCGUGGCAACGAUGAAUAGCAGGCCUGAGAGGGUGGCCUGCCACACUGGGACUGGAACACGGCCCAGACUCCUACGGGAGGCAGCAGCAAGGAAUAUUGUCCAAUGGGGGAAACCCUGAGACAGCAACGCCGCGUGAAGGAAGAAGGCCUUCGGGUUGUAAACUUCUGUUUUAAGAGAAGAAACAAAUGACGGUACCUUAAGAGGAAGCCCCGGCAAACUACGUGCCAGCAGCCGCGGUAACACGUAGGGGGCAAGCGUUGUCCGGAAUCACUGGGCGUAAAGGGCGCGUAGGCGGUUUAUUAAGUUGAAUGUGAAAUCCCAGGGCUCAACCCUGGACCUGCAUUCAAAACUGGUAGACUUGAGUAUGGCAGAGGUAAGUGGAAUUCCUAGUGUAGCGGUGGAAUGCGUAGAUAUUAGAGGAUCACCAGUGGCGAAGGGACUAACUGGGCAAUACCUGA